CCCACUUUCCUUCACACCAAAGCAGUUUGGAAUGAAACAGGGGAAUGUCUUUGACCCACUCAAACUCCAAAUGAAAACAAAAUCUGGAAAACGUUUAGAUACUAAGCCAUUGAACCAAGGUUGUUAACACUGGAUUCUCUGGCUUGAAAGGCACUAGGAUAGGGAGGAGCAAGUGCAUUGAUUGGUGGCACUCAUCACUUUCACUUCUGUUUCUAUCAUCAAGGAAGUGCAAGCAUUACUGAGAGCUACCUGUAUAUUCCACCUGCUCCAGUUACUGAGUGUGAUAGAGUCAGUGCCAAAAGCAGGUAUCACAAGGGAUUUAUUACACUUCUGUGAAUUUUUCCUGGGAGAGGAGGAAAGAAGAGAGCCAAAAAUGUUACAAGAAAGGAAGCCAUCAGCUGAGAGUUCCUCUGAAUUGUUCCUGCACAAGAAACAGAUGAAACCACAGAACGCUCUGUGUACAAAGUGCAAAGUACAAAAGCUAGUUUACAUUUGCAAGUGUUUGUUGUAUUUCCUAUGCCAAAUACAAUAAAUAUGCAGUAAAAUAAAAUAUGGAGGUGUGGGAAAUGAUUUUAUUUAAUGUUUAUUAAAAAUAAUGCCAAAGUCAUGGUUGCUGAUAUUUAUCUUUAACAACACAUCUCUGCCACUACAAUGCAAGACGUUGCUGAUUCAAGCUCAGGCAAAAAGAGAUGUGUUUAUUAUGGGAUGAAAUGUACUUAUUACAGAAUGAAAGUUUAAUUUUCCUACAGAUUGCACCACCAGGAUACAAGAAAGGGAAGAGAAAAAUGAAAGGUGAAACCAUGUUCAUUUUGCCCAAGCUGUUAUGUAUAGUUUCUCUGAGAGCUUCUGUGCUAUUUGUUGUACGUUGUUUACAAAUAUGCAGUUUUUAAUUUAAGCUAUUUUGCCUUACAAACUUUUAGUUUUAGACCUCAGUUUUGUAAAAACUGAGCACAUGUAAAUGGUUUCAGGAGCUGGGUUUAAUUUAAUAGACAAACUUCUUCGCCAUUGUAGCGGGGUGGUCACCCCACUCCGGCCCUCAAGGGGUUAAAGCAGCCCUGGAGAGGGCUCCAGCUGGGAAAAGCUAGGCUGAUUGGGAAAGCAGCCACAGCUGUGGCCAGCUUAAUCAGGGCCCAGCUGGCCCUUGUAAGAGGGCUGUGGGCCAGAAGCUAAGCCACACUCUCUCUCUUCAGCUUCUUGAGAGAGAAGGAUCUGGCUGCCUGGGAGCUGAGAAGGGUACCUGAGGUGGAGCAGUGCUGGGGAAGGGAAAUGCAGACAGAGCUGGGGAGCUCCAGCCAGGAAGAAACCCAGACUGCAGGUCUUGCUAAAAGGGCCAAAUAGGUACUGGGGCUGCAGAGGGGCAUCCCAGAGAUAUGCAAAGGCAGCAGGUCCUAACCCCCUUGCCGAUGAUGAGUGGUUUAUAGACUGCAGUCUGCCCCAGGGAGCAGGGGCUAGAUGAUGACUGGCAGUAGCCAUAACAAUACUUUUUCUUUAGUAUUUUUAUACUUGUUGGCUCAAUGUAGCAAAAAGGAAUUCCAUCAGCAAUAUCCUUUAAUUUAUAAAUGAUGCUUGUAUUCUUGCUGCAUUGUUCUUCCAAUUUUUGAAUACAGUAUCCUGGCUGCAGUACUAGAUUGUACAAUUGUUUUAUUCAGUUGAUCCUUUACUGAACAGAAGUAACAUUAGAGGGUACAAUGUGCUUGCUGUUUUCUAAAAAUAUGAAUAGUAAAGGUAAAAAUAUCUAUUUUCAUACUGAAAUAGUCACACGCUUUGGAUAAUUUGAUUUUUCUCUCUCAAUUUAAAUUGCCUAUAGAUGCUUUGAAUUUUAAUUUCGAAGCAGUAUUUACACUAAACAGGUUGAUUUUGCAAGACCUACCAAAAGCCUACAGAAAUCAAUGGGAAUUUCUCUACUGACAUCAGUGGUCUUUGAUCAGGUCCCAUAUAGAGCUGCCAGAACAGCUGUAACAUAAUAUUAACUGGGGGAGCAGGAGACUCAUAAAAGUUUUUUUUUAGGUCUGACCGGCUCUAAGUUUUGUAACGUCUAAUGCCUUUUUCUGAAGUACUCUCUUUUUAAAAUAGGUAUUGAAUAUAUAUAUAUAUGCAUACACAUUUUUUAAGGUACCAUCAAUGUAGGUCUCUAAAUAUGACAUAUUUUCCCCAAAAUAAUGUUGUUAGUAAGAAUGACAUCAUUUGUUUCAUUCGAGAUAAACAGGAAAGUGGAGAAAAAAAAUUUAAAAAGUCACUAAACAAGUCCUGCUUUGGAGAAGGAAAUACAGAGCAUAUUUAAUAUUUGUGAGUGCUCAAUCUACUGCCUGAAUACAUUUUUUUAUGCUCUGGAUAAUUAAGUAGACCAUACUUUGCAGAAAGACUACAAUUUAAGUCUUUACUUUUGCAGCGGACUAAUGUUUUACAGCACUUGAAAGAUGGAGAAGGGAAAUAUAAAAAUAAAUACUUUGUAUACAAAAGAUAAAAAGUUACUCAGAUAUGAACAGAUUUCAGUUAAG